rnacentral:rRNA from 1 species
UACAGAGGGUGCGAGCGUUGUCCGGAAUCACUGGGCGUAAAGGGCGCGUAGGCGGCCUGGUAAGUACGGGGUGAAAUCUCACGGCUCAACCGUGAGGCUGCCUCGUAGACUGCCGGACUUGAGCAGAGCAGAGGCUAGCGGAAUUCCCGGUGUAGCGGUGAAAUGCGUAGAUAUCUGAAGGAACACCAGUGGCGAAAGCGGCUUCCUGGUCCAGUACCGACGUUCAGGCACGAAAGCGUGGGGAGCAAACAGG